GCUCCCAUGGUGAAAUGGAUAUCACGCAGCUCUCCGGAAGCUGAAGUUCAGGUUCGAUUCCUGAUGGGAGCGCCA
rnacentral:tRNA from 1 species